UAUAAUCGUGGUAUUUGCUCG
rnacentral:piRNA from 1 species